rnacentral:misc_RNA from 1 species
AAGUCGUAACAAGGUUUCCGUAGGUGAACCUGCGGAAGGAUCAUCAUUGAAUCUAUAUUUACAAACCUUUGUGAACCGUAUGUUUAGAGUGUGCUUGGCAGGAAGAACACUGGCAGUCGCCGGUGGUCGCGUCUUGUGCUGGUGCUUGCACUGGCAUGAGUGCCUGCCAACAUGCUCGCCUUUUAACAAACCUUUUUAAACAUUGACUGAUAACAUUUAUUUAAUUAAAACAACUUUCAACAAUGGAUCUCUUGGCUCUC